rnacentral:rRNA from 1 species
CAAUAGCGUAUACUAAAGUUGUUGCGAUUAAAAAGCUCGUAGUUGGAUCUCAGGCAUGGGCGCACGGUCCGCCUCGCGGCGGUCCCUGUGUGUUUUGUUUCCCAUCCUACGCUUCCCGGUUAUCAGCCCAUGGUGCUCUUCACUGAGCGUUUUGGGUGGCCGGAACGUUUACUUUGAAGAAAUUAGAGUGUUCAAAGCAGGCACGUCGCCUGAAUAAUGGUGCAUGGAAUAAUGGAAUAGGACCUCGGUUCUAUUUUGCUGGUUUUCGGAACACGAGGUAAUGAUUAAGAGGGACAGACGGGGGCAUCCGUAUUGCGGUGUUAGAGGUGAAAUUCUUGGAUCAUCGCAAGACGAACAACUGCGAAAGCAUUUGCCAAGCAUGUUUUCAUUAG